CCCAAGACGAGCCCACGUUCACUCUCCCUUCUUCCUGAUUGGUUUGAGCUAUCGCGCGCCAAAACUGAAAAUUCCUUUAUCAGCCACUUCUGCGUUGGCGAGAAUCGUGCAGUAGAAGGGAGAGGAGCCGAGAGGCUCCAAUCUCAACUGCUGCACCCAGGAAGCAGAGGAGGACGUGAGUCCUUUUUCUGUUGUAGGCGUUAUAAAGCGUUAAAGCUUUAAAGGGCCAGUAAUAUAACUAAAGCUUCAGAGGAAGCAAAACUUUAAUGCCAGCGGGUGCACCCUAUAAAAUGGCUAAAAUGGUUUCAAGGUAUUUCAUCGGUUCCAGGUAUUUCAUGGUUUCUCAAGGGAUUUCUCGGGCUCAAUCUCAACUGCUGCACCCAGAGAGGGAGCAGGGGAGGACCUGAUUCACUUUUCUGUUCUCGGCUUUAUAAAGCUACAUUUAAAGGUUUAUAUAGGACCAAUAUUACUAAAGCUUCAGAGGAAGCAAAACUUUAAUGCCAGUGGGUGCACCCUUUAAAAUGGCUAAAAUGGUUUCAAGGUUUCAAUGGAUUUCAUGAUUUCAUGGUUUACCAGGGAUUUCAUGGUUUCUCAAGGGAUUUCUCGGGCUCAAUCUCAACUGCUGCACCCAGAGAGGGAGCAGGCGAGGACCUGAGUCCCUUUUCUGUUCUCGGCUUUAUAAAGCUACAUUUAAAGGUUUAUAUAGGACUAUUACUAAAGCUUCAGAGGAAGCAAAAACUUUAAUGCCAGCGGGUGCACCCUAUAAAAUGGCUAAAAUGGUUUCACAAGGUCUUGUGGUAUUUCAUGGUUUACAAGAGACCCCAAGGUUUUCCAAGGGGUUUCUCAAAUAUGUUACAGCACAAAACAGUGACUUUCAACAUGACCUUCAAACGGCACUUAGCUGUGAUGUAGGCUGUUUGACUGUGCUGUGUGGCUGUGUGGCUGUGUGCUGCGCUCUCUGCGCAGUGCAAUGUAUUGUUUUGGUGCAGUGCAUUGGGUGAAAUGUACUGUUUCUGGAGUUGGUCCAGGCUAUUGGGUGCAAUACAUUUUAUUGGGUGCUAGCCAAAGACAAUGGAUCCGUCGCAAUGCAACACAAGACAUGGAAGCUCGUGAUCCACAGUCCCCUCCCCUAACGGUCCUCGUCCACCUGAACGAAAAAGGGUGGCAAAUCUCCCCCCAAACUCGACUGUGGCUAAAGUGACUGCUGUCUGUUGCUGCUUUGUGACCGAUACAAUGGAACUGGAUUGGACCAAAUGGAACUGGAUUGGACCAAGUGGAACUGGAUCGGAUCCUAUGGAACGGGAUUGAACCUGAUGGAACUGGAAUUGGACUAUCUUACCGUAGCAUAUCUCUUUUGUAAAAAAGAUCUGUUGUACAGAUCUGUUGUACAUGUAGUUUGUUGCAUCUGUCCUCUCAUUGUAUGACGAGUCAGAACUGAGCUGUGAUUUAAGUCACUGGGGUGUUUGCUGCUGCUGCUGCUGCUUUUACUAAUCUAUUCCAGAAGAGACGUACUUCUGGAAUAGCCCCCCCGGUCAGUGGCCACCAUGAGACAGAAGAACCUAUGGUGGUGAGUAUCCCAAUCUCCUCCUGUGGCUUGAGUAACUGGUGUUUGUUGCUGCUUUGGGGGGGGGGGUUCUUUUUUACUCCUAUUUCAGAAGAGAGACGAACUUCUGGAAUAGCCCCCCUGGUCAGUGGCCACCAUGAGACAGAAGAACCUAUGGUGGUGAGUAUCCCAAUCUCCUCCUGUGGCUUGAGUAACUGGUGUUUGUUGCUGCUUUGUGGGGGGGGGUUUCUUUUUUACUCCUAUUUCAGAAGAGAGACGUACUUCUGGAAUAGCCCCCCUGGUCAGUGGCCACCAUGAGACAGAAGAACCUAUGGUGGUGAGUAUCCCAAUCUCCUCCUGUGGCUUGAGUAACUGGUGUUUGUUGCUGCUUUGGGGGGGGGGGUUCUUUUUUACUCCUAUUUCAGAAGAGAGACGAACUUCUGGAAUAGCCCCCCUGGUCAGUGGCCACCAUGAGACAGAAGAACCUAUUGUGGUGAGUAUCCCUUUCUCCUCCUGUGGCUUGAGUAACUGGUGUUUGUUGCUGCUUUGUGGGGGGGGGGGUUCUUUUUACUCCUAUUUCAGAAGAGAGACGUACUUCUGGAAUAGCCCCCCUGGUCAGUGGCCACCAUGAGACAGAAGAACCUAUGGUGGUGAGUAUCCCAAUCUCCUCCUGUGGCUUGAGUAACUGGUGUUUGUUGCUGCUUUGUGGUUUGUUUUUUUUCCCCCUUAUUUAUUCCAGAAAGGAGACCCAACAUGGAGACCUUGAGGCAACGCUUGGCGGAUCUCCACGACAUCUCAGAACAUGUUACAUUAUUACGUUGUUACAUCUGUAUAAGUGUAUCAAUGUAUGCUCUUAAACAAAAACUUAGUCAAAGCGACGUUUUAAGUAAAACCUUAAAGUUGCUUCCACAGCAACACAAAACUUAGUCAAAGCGACGUUUGAAGUAAAACCUUAAAGUUGCUUCCACAGCAACACAAAACUUAGUCAAAGCGACGUUAAAAGUAAAACCUUAAAGUUGCUGCCACAGCAACACAAAACUUAGUCAAAGCGACGUUAAAAGUAAAACCUUAAAGUUGCCACAGCAACAAAACUUUAUAUUAAAAGCACAAACUGGGGGCCCCUUGUGUGUUUUACAUUGCUGUAACAUGUUUUGGUCGAUGUUGUUCUGCUCCUGUUCUCGCUGUCUUGUCUCUACCUCCUAUCUCCUAUCACCCCAACCGGUCGAGGCAGAUGGCCGCACAUUUUGAGUCUGGUUCUGUCAGAGAUUUCUUCCUGUUAAAAGGGAGUUUUUUCUCUCCACUGUUGGCACUUGUGCUUGCUCAUUGUGUGAAUUGUUGGGUUUCUCUUCUCUCUAAGAUAAAAUGGACUUACUGAUAGAAAUGUUAAUCGCAGCUAAGUCAGACAACAACAACACUCCAUGCACCCACACACUUAGUUCAGGACAGAGUGAGAGUAGUCAGCGUUAGCAACGUUUGUGUUUCAAUGUUUGUUUGUCAUUGUUGUCUGCGUCAUUCAUGUUGUAAACGUCCCCUUCUUUUGUCUCCGUCCUCUUUCUAUCUUCCCCAAUCCCUCUUCCCCUUUUCCCAUUGAUGACCGUUCACAGUGCAGGGACUGUAAUGGACUCUUCGCUGUGAACGAAGAGCAAAACUGUCCGACACUAACAGACUCACAGUCCUGUCCGACUGUUUGUCUAAGUUGUGGGACAGGACAUAUCAAUGAGACGAGGUCCGAGACACACUUUGUCCAUGUUUGCGUGACAAGGAGAGGAGAAAAGAGGAGACGAGGAAAGGAUGAUGGAGCAGCAUCAGCCUCUGCAGGAGGACGGAGACGAUAACGUGAAGUUGCCCCAAGUUAAUUUUCUGUUUUCAUGCGUUCACAGAAACCAGCAGCGAAACACAUGGACUGGAUUUCACUGACUGGACUGGAUGUGAUUUACCUGUUUUUAGUGCGGCCAGCUGGGGGCGCCACAGCCACUUCACCCCAUCAGUAUGGAUUAAGAAGUUUGAAGUUUUUGUAUAAAUUAAUAGAAAAUGGCUCUUUAUUUUUUUUCCAUUGCUUUGAAAAGUCACCUGAUUUUUUACACUUUAACUUCAUUUAUAAUUCACACUUAAGUGUUGCAUUGGGAGUUGUUCCGUCUUUUGUAUUUGUGAAGAAUAAGUUAACUGUUCAUUUUUAUUUAUUCUUUGGAAUAUUUUCUGGUUUCUUUGCUCCAUAGAAAAAAGAAGUCAUUACAACAGAAUCAUUUGAGAACAUCAUCAUUUCCAGGUUUGACAAACACUGAUCAAUAUUUUUCUACAUUUCAUGACAUUUCAUGGACCAAACUACUACUCCAUUCACCGAGAAAAUUAAUUGAUUAUAAAUAUAUUCGUUAGCUGCAGCUCUACUACGGUGGCCUUGAAGUGCAAAUCACCAACACAAAUGGGAAAACACAACAUUAACUGAAAUGCAACAACCAGUUUCAGUUAAUGUUCUUGUGUUUUGGUUGUUUUAGCUGAUGUUUCAGUUGAUGUCGUUGACGUUUGGGUUUCCGUUGGUGUUGUGUUUCAGUUGCCGUUGUUGGGUUUCGGUUGACAGUGUAGGGUUUCAGUUGACGUUGUUUUCCUAUUUCUGUUGGUGAUUUGCACUUCAAGGCCACCGUAGUAGAGCUGCAGCUAACAAUUAUAUUCAUAAUCAAU